rnacentral:rRNA from 1 species
GAUGAACGCUGGCGGCGUGCUUAACACAUGCAAGUCGAACGAGAAGUGGAGACGGACACCUUCGGGCGGAAGACUUUACUUCGAGUGGCGGACGGGUGAGUAACGCGUGGGUAACCUGCCUCAUACAGGGGGAUAACAGUUGGAAACGACUGUUAAUACCGCAUAAGACCACAGCACCGCAUGGUGCGGGGGUAAAAACUCCGGUGGUAUGAGAUGGACCCGCGUUCGAUUAGCCAGUUGGCGGGGUAACGGCCCACCAAAGCGACGAUCGAUAGCCGAUCUGAGAGGAUGACCGGCCACAGUGGGACUGAGACACGGCCCAAACUCCUACGGGAGGCAGCAGUGGGGAAUAUUGCACAAUGGGGGAAACCCUGAUGCAGCGACGCCGCGUGAGUGAAGAAGUAUUUCGGUAUGUAAAGCUCUAUCAGCAGGGAAGAAAAUGACAGUACCUGAGGAAGAAGCCCCGGCUAACUACGUG